rnacentral:rRNA from 1 species
AUGGACUCGUCCAGCUCCCACCCGCCCUUGGGGAACAUCAUGCCGUGCCCCUUCUGCGAGCUGAUCACCAGCACCUCCAGCUCGCCCUCGCCCUCGCCGCCGCCGCCGCGCACCCGGUAGGGGAUGCACCCCACCACGAUGCGCCCGCCGGUGCUCGCGCUGUACCGCUGCAGCUCGCGCCCCUGCCUCGCCACAAGAACGGCCAUCGUUCGAAUCUUUAGCUCGCUGUAA